CCUUGGCCUCCCAAAGUGCUGAGAUUACAGGCAUGAGCCACCUCGCCCGGCCUCUACUGAUGUAUAUAAUAGUAAGAGACACUCUGGUGUGUAUGCUGUUGAAUGAAACAGAAGAGAUGGCCAGUGAUUGUGUGAGAAUCUGGAUUUCAAAUCUGCAAAAGGAAGGUGCAGAAGAUUUAUUUGGUUGGAGAACACAUUUUUGAGGAGAAUCAUUCUGUGAAAAAAAAGGAGCUGGACAUACAUAACUCAAGAAAGAAAAGAAAGUGGUACUAAAUAGUAAAUUAUUGACUGGACAGAGUGUUA
rnacentral:lncRNA from 10 species